AUUGUACUCCCUCCGUCCCAAAAUUCUUGUCUUAGAUUUGUCUAGAUACGGAUGUACCUAAUACUAAAACGUGACUUGAUACAUCCGUAUUUAGACAAAUCUAAGAAACGAAUUUUGGGAUGGAGGGAGUAUGUU
rfam:Triticum aestivum genome assembly, contig: Triticum_aestivum_CS42_TGACv1_scaffold_177487_2DS